UACUUCCUGUUGAAUAUUAUUAUCCUUCAUGAUUUCAGAUAAUUAUACUUCAGCAAAUGGCUCCAUCCGUUUGAAUUUUCACACUAUAAUUACCUUCCUUGCUCACUAUAUGAAAUUACCCCUCAGACCUUCACCCGGGGCGUUGAGACCCGGGUGAGCUAGGCAACAGGUGCGCUGGGAGGGUGAGCACAGCCUCACGUGGUUCUGACGAAGGAAAUUCGCAUCUGGUUGGAGUCCUGAAGUUGUCCCGCCCUGUGACAGGAGAGAAACCCCGGGCUCUGCCUGUGGGUGGGAACGCUGGGGGACCCGCUGCCUGGGAGGGACCUGGGGGCUUUCCCUGGAGCUGGGGACCUCCUGGUGCUAAAAUCGAGUCCUUGGUCCUGAAUGUGCACACACAGGCGUGUUUGAGCUCCUGCUGGGGGCCAGGCUCUGUGCUGGGAACUGGACAAGACGGGAGCCCCGGACGGAGGCCCAGGCCGGACGCCCAGGAGCCACGUGUGGGAUCUCGUCCUCCCAGAGGAAGCCGCCAGGACCCACGGCUGUUUUCACUUGAACCCGGUAGUUUCCUGUCACGAAACUGCAAGAAGAGGAGCAGAGCAGUCCCAGGUCACGCAAAUGUGCUACAGCGACUUUCCUCGGAAAGAUCGUAACUCUAAUGUCACACGUGUACGUCUCUACCCACUGCAUGCCCACGGGUGCUGCCCCUUUUAACAAAGUCACUGCAGACGAUUGCGCAGAGACAGUAAUUGCAUUGAAAUUAUAUUCGAUUACAUCACUAUGAAAGUAUCGUGUCACUUUGGGGUUAAGAAUUAAGUCGAUACAUCAUUACUCGGAAUUUCUAACAGAAGUCCUUUAACAUCAGCUCAUUUUGUAAUCUUGGAGUCCGUGGAGGCAUCUGCGAUUUUCAUGGCGCUUGUAGAUUUAAGUGAAAAGCUUGCAAGUACAGACUAGUCAGAUUAGCCUCGUUUUUAUUUAGCGUAGACGCUUAACCACAUGUUACUGCGUCCAAUGUGUUGGACGGAGUUUUCAAUAACAGCUCAGUCUGAGGUUCCUCUUUAUGGGUGAGCAGAUGCGAGGAGACGAUGUGCAUAGUAAACACCAGGACAGAAGAAACAGCCUCCUCGAGCAAACGCACAACAUCUGGUGACGAGUAAUCCCGGGAGAUGUUUGCCGCCUACGGAUCUGCGAGGACGGCGUGACCAUAAGGACACGUCGUGUUUCUGAGUCGUCGGGACUCUGCCAAAAUGGGGAAAAACAACAUAUUUUGGAUGCUAAUCCCCCGUUUUCAUCCUGCGUUUUGUAAUUAAAUUGACGACAAAAAGAAGGUCUGGUUUAUCACCCACUUUAGCAAGAACACAAUUCCUGCAAAGCUCACUUCUCUACCAGCGGUCGAUCCGACGUGGGAGCCCGCAGGAGCCGUCAGGCUUCGGGAUGAGAUACUGAGGGUUAGAACGUCACUGACCAGACUCGCGUCCCGCUGACGCACUCCACGCCCGAGCGCCUCUCGGCCCCUGGCUUUCUAAGCACCAGUCAGCCCCACAGGAGCACGGCUUCUGGUGUGUGUGUGUGUGUGUGUGUGAUUUUCUGUAUGACUUUCCCAGGAUGAAAGAAUUUGUAAAACAUGCCACACCUGACUUUAGUCAGGGCACUGGCCUCUUUCCCUCAGAUUGUCAAAUAAAGAAUAACAAUGGCCAUUCUGGUCUGAA